UCUUCGGCAAUGGGCGCAAGCCUGACCGAGCGACGCCGCGUGGAGGACGAAGGCCUUCGGGUUGUAAACUCCUGUCGAGGGGGAGGAAGGGGAAACCUUGACCGAUCCCUGGAGGAAGCGCGGGCUAAGUUCGUGCCAGCAGCCGCGGUAAGACGAACCGCGCGAACGUUAUUCGGAAUCACUGGGCUUAAAGCGCGUGUAGGCGGAUCGGAGCGUCGGCACCUGAAAGCCCCCGGCUCAACCGGGGAAGCGGGUCCGAAACGACCGGUCUCGAGGGAUGGAGGGGGACCUGGAACUUCCGGUGGAGCGGUGAAAUGCGUUGAGAUCGGAAGGAACGCCGGCGGCGAAAGCGAGGUCCUGGACGUCCACUGACGCUGAGACGCGAAAGCUGGGGGAGCGAACGGG
rnacentral:rRNA from 1 species